rfam:Rattus norvegicus chromosome 6, whole genome shotgun sequence.
GGGUGCAAAGGCAAUCUGCCUGUGGUGUCGAGCACCCCGUUGAUAACCAGAGUUGAAUCAGCUGAUCUGGAAAGCUAGACAGGUGUCCUCUUCCUCCCUCACCACGUUCCAUGUGCCUCCUUCCUGGGGCUGUGUAUUUGAUGGCAAAGGAAGAUCUUCUCAGAUAGAAGAGGGCCAGCCGCUGUUAAAGAUAUCUAAGCAGCUGCUAGAUCCCCUGCUAGAGUCUCCAAACAAAGCCCUCAAAGUCCAAAGGCACAAAUGGUAAAUUAAAUGGCAGUAAUGUUGAUCGAAACCCUCUGUGUUUGAGGAGGUAGCUCUCAACUCUGAG